GAACCUUCAAGAAAAUUUUAGAAGGAGAAAAACAAAGAAACAAGAGCAAGAACAUAAGGGCCAUACGGCCAAGCUCUUGAAAUUUUGUCCCUUUGAAAUCUUUCUCCAAAAAUUAUUUUCUUGUGGUAUUUCUACUAAUUCAAGGGUCCUUUACAACUUGGUGUAAUUAUUUUGGAAGAAAGAGCACUUGUUUCUUCAAGUUGACAACUUGGUCAAGUGAAAAAGAUUGUAGAAAAAGAUUUUGGCGAACUUGAAACUUGAUUUUGGAGACGUGUAUGAAGCGGAAAAGGUCAGCAGACAGGUGGACGUGAUCCUUAGAAGCUCUACCAGCCGCACUUGACAGCGCUCCAGUUGUUCCGGAGCCUCACUCCAGCGGUACUAUUUUAUGCAUAUACAUUCGGGCUUGGUAGCACCCCGGCCCUUUCUAUGUAUAAGUGUACUAUGUCUAGAGGCUCGUAGACAGAUACGUACAGUCAGUCAGGUACAGAUAUAUGUAUAGUGUUUUGGCAUGUUAAUAUUGUUGUACAAGGUAAUAA